CAGGGCGUACAGGUACACCCUGUUCCCUUACGAGGUUAAUGAUGAAUCGGUAUGUAGAAUAAAAGAAAACAUCAUUGCAAUGAACUUCAGACUAUGAAAAGGACGCACAGCACUGUACGGAGAAGCCAUGGAUGCCUGCAAGUGAAUAAGGAGGUUACACUUGUAAUGCAGAGAGCUCUCUCCCUCCAGACUUCUAUGAGUAUAUACAGUUGCUGCUUUUUACAGAUAAAGUGCUCUUGAAAACUUUACAAGUCCCUGUGCAGACUGAGGUCUCGAUAUCCUGAGAUGACUCUUCAAAUCAAUGAAGAUAAUUUAGUAUUAUUAAAUUCAAGACUGGAAACAUUCGGUAAAACACAGCAGCCUUUUAUCUUUCAGCUUGAUUAAAAAAAUAUGAGUCGAUUUUGUUUCAUCUGCAUAGCUUCUUCCCCCGCUUUUAAAGUGGAACUAAACAGAAAAUAUAAUGUGCACAGCCCAAAACUGCUGUGACUGUGUGUUACAAUCCGUGACAUUCCUCAAGUCUAGCAAGAGCUCCCUGUACAUGCAACAUUCUCCUACACUUUAAAGAAGAAGGACAUGGACUAAAAUAAAAUCAAAAUAUGAUGUAUUUCAGUUGCAUGCAAGUGGCUACGGAAUCUGUCAUUGGACAAGAGUUGAAAGCUGAGCAUCAAGAUAUUUCAAAUUUGGAAUGAUGAGGUCACCAUAUGAUCAGAUGCCCAUUGCCCCUUGCUGGAUGUGUUCUGCAGGAUUUCUGAAGACAAUAACUAAUAAAACCUGUUUCUUCAUGUGCUGGGAACCUCUGAAACAAGCUCACAGCGCAGAUAAGUUUAUAGCACCAUAAAACUGGCUCAAUGAAAUAUUUAAUCAGUGUGAUUGAGCCAAUAAUAAGAAAACAAGUGUGUGAAUAUAUCAAAGAAACCAAAUCCUUCUAAUAUCACAAUGUUAAGAAAGGAAAACAUUUUAAUGAAAUUUGCAUAAUCUAUGAUGAAUCGUGAAGCUCACUAACACAGCUGUAUUGUCGGGCUGGUUCUUCCUUUACAUUUUUUUGCUGAUAAAAAUGGGAAAUGUCUUCAAGAAUGCAAUUUGGAACUUGUAGUACACACCUUAAAAAGGUAAAUACAGGAGCCCCCUUUAUCUGAUAUGGGGAUCAUUGGUUGAUUUCAGGAUUUCAGAGACCGGAAGAAGCGUUAGUGAAACAGGCUGUCGUCUCUAUCUCCCCCACCCUUCCCCCGCACGCCACUACCCUCCCGCUGCACCGCUAAUACAUGAUGAGGAAUUGUGUCCUUUGAACUGGAUGGUUGCACAGUAUCUUCUUCAAUAAAGAAAGAAGCCCAAAACGUGACAUGAGGCGGAAUGUUUUUAUACUACAUUGCCUAUUUAACUGUGAAAUAUGUAUACAGAAUAAGAAUACUGAUACCCGACUGCUGCAACUGGAGUCCUUGAGGAAAUAAAAGAAUCAGUACACAAUGGAUUUUACUGGAAGAGAAAUUUCUCGUCAACCGCAGAAGAACACCUGCUUGUGUGUCCAUAUACACCCUGUUCCAAAUUAUUAUGCAAAUGAUAUGUUUCUUAUUUACCUAAAUAAUUUAUGUAAAUAACAGUCAGCAUAAUUCUCAUGUUAUCAACUAUUAAGAGUACAAAUCAAAUUGUAUUGAACAAACUUCCUAAUGAUAACAGUAUUUUUUUAAACAUAAAAA